rnacentral:sRNA from 1 species
GCCGGGCGUGGUGGCUCACGCCUGUAAUCCCAGCACUUUGGGAGGCUGAGGUGGGUAGAUCACCUGAGGUCAGGAGUUCGAGACCAGCCUGGCCAACAUGGUGAAACCCCAUCUCUA